AGCGUCACAAGACGAGAAGCUAUCGGGCUAUCGGUUUGCAGGUAGUAUAUAAAUCGGAACCAGCCGGAUCGGACAAUUAUAUCUUAUAGCUCUCAUAGGAACUAUCGAGGAAAAAAUUAAAAAAAAAGUAUAUCUUUGGUGUUUUUUACCUCUAUACCUUUCUAAGCUUAGAUAUAACAUUUUUAAAUUAGUUCUGAAUUUCGAAUUAAAUUUUAUCAAAAUCGGACGACUAUAUCAUAUA